AUUAAAAAUUUUAUUAUAAAUUUUUAUAAUUAAAAUAUUAUUAUGUUUUAUUAUUAAUUUAGAAAAAAUUUUUUUUAUAAUAGUUAAAAGUAUAGUGAUAGAAAAAUUAAAUAUAUUGAAAAUUAAAAUAUUUUAAAGAAUAAUUAAUUUUUAGUACCUUGUGUAUCAGGGUUUAUUAAUAAUAAACUAUUAAUUUAGUUUUCUCGAUUUCAAAAGAGUUAAAAAUUUAUUUUUUUUAAUGUCUAAUAAUUAUUAUAAAUAAAUUUUUAGUAAUGAAACGUUAUUCGUUUUUGAAUAUAUCUAGUUUUUUAGGAAAUAAAUUUAAUUUAUUUAUUAAUAAAAAUUAAAUUUAUUUAUAAAUUUAAUUUUAUUAAUAAAAAAUAUUUUAAGGGAUAAGCUUUGAAAUAAAUUUAUAUAAUAAAUUUAUAUAAAAAUUAAAUAUAGGAUUAAAAAUUUCUUUUAUUAAUAAUUUGUUAUAAUUAAUUUUUUUAUAUUAUUAUUUAUAUUUUAUUUAUAUUUUUUACUAAAAAUUUUUAUUUAAUAAAAGUUUAAAAGUAAUAAUGAUAAAAUUAGUAUAAUUUUUUUUAUGAAUAAUUUAUUUAUAAAAGGUUAAAUUAAGGAAUUCGGCAAAUAAUUUUUCGCCUGUUUAAUAAAAACAUGUCUUUUUGAUUAUAAUUUAAAGUCUGACCUGCCCAAUGAAUUUUUAAAUGGCCGCGGUAUUUUGACCGUGCAAAGGUAGCAUAAUCAUUAGUUUUUUAAUUGAAAGCUGGUAUGAAUGGUUGGACGAGAAAAUUACUGUCUCAAUUUAAUUUAAUUAGAAUUUUAUUUUUAAGUUAAAAAGCUUAAAUUUAUUUAAAAGACGAGAAGACCCUAUAGAGUUUUAUAUUUAUUUAAUUAAUUUAUUUUAUAAUUUUUGAUAAUUAAUAUAAUAUUUUAUUGGGGUGAUAGAUAAAUUUAAUAAACUUUAUUUUAUUUUUAACAUUUAUUUAUGAAUUAAUGAUCCAUUAAUUAUGAUUAUAAGAUUAAAUUACCUUAGGGAUAACAGCGUAAUUUUUUUAGAGAGUUCAAAUCGAAAAAAAAGAUUGCGACCUCGAUGUUGGAUUAAAGUUAAUUUUUGGUGUAGCAGCUAAAAUAUUGAGUCUGUUCGACUUUUAAAACUUUACAUGAUCUGAGUUUAAACCGGUGUGAGCCAGGUUGGUUUCUAUCUUUAAAAAAAUAAAAUAUUUUAGUACGAAAGGACCAAAUAUUUGUAAUAUUUAUUUAAUUUUGAAUAAUAUU
rnacentral:rRNA from 1 species